AGACCUCCAUAAUAUGCACUGUGGUGGCAUGAACACUGAUAUCAACAAUUUUUUUUCCAGACAUCAAGUGUCAUGAAAGCGUUUCAUGCAGUGUAGGAUACAUAGAUUCAGUAGGCGUUAACUUUCAGGACCUAUCAUAUGAAGAAGAGCAGCUGAAGAAUGAGUCCCAGGCUGCGACAACAGGCUGCCGAUCACUCUCGACCAGCUCUUGGCACCCUCCUGGACGAGAUCACUACUGCUGAGGUCCCUUUCGUUUUAGAUCUUGCCAUGAGUGCCGACUGGCAUCAGCUUUCAAGCGUUACAGCCAUGGACGUGUACAAGUCCACUCCCGACUUGACAAAGUCCCAGGAACUGCAGAGACUGGGACAUCGUUGGAGGAAGGUUUCUUUUUUAUAUCGAUUUU